rnacentral:rRNA from 1 species
UACAGAGGGGGCCAGCGUUAUUCGGAAUUAUUGGGCGUAAAGGGCGCGUAGGCGGCCUUGCGUGUCUUUCGUGAAAUCCCUCGGCUUAACUGAGGACGUGCGGAAGAAACUGCAGGGCUUGAGUCCGGGAGAGGGGGGUGGAAUUCCCAGUGUAGCGGUGAAAUGCGUAGAUAUUGGGAGGAACACCGGUGGCGAAGGCGGCCCCCUGGACCGGUACUGACGCUGAGGCGCGAAAGCGUGGGUAGCAAACGAG